AUUGAACGCUGGCGGCAUGCUUUACACAUGCAAGUCGAACGGUAACAGGUCUUCGGAUGCUGACGAGUGGCGAACGGGUGAGUAAUGCAUCGGAACGUGCCCAGUCGGGGGGGAUAACGCAGCGAAAGCUGUGCUAAUACCGCAUACGAUCUAUGGAUGAAAGCGGGGGGCCGUAAGGCCUCGCGCGAUUGGAGCGGCCGGUGUCAGAUUCGCUAGUUGGUGGGGUAAAGGCCCACCAAGGCGACGAUCUGUAGCUGGUCUGGGAGGACGACCAGCCACACUGGGACUGGGACACGGCCCAGACUCCUACGGGAGGCAGCAGUGGGGAAUUUUGGACAAUGGGCGCAAGCCUGAUCCAGCAAUGCCGCGGGCAGGAAGAAGGCCUUCGGGUUGUAAACUGCUUUUGUACGGAACGAAACGGUCCGGGUUAAUACCCUGGGCUAAUGACGGUACCGUAAGAAUAAGCACCGGCUAACUACGUGCCAGCAGCCGCCGUAA
rnacentral:rRNA from 1 species